CCCUGCCAGUACUGGGGGCCACAUGAGUGUGCAGUCAUCCACACACAUGUGGCCCCCAACACUGGCAGGG
ensembl:miRNA